UACGUAGGGGGCAAGCGUUGUCCGGAAUCAUUGGGCGUAAAGCGCGUGUAGGCGGCUCAGUAAGUCCGUUCUGAAAGCCCGGGGCUCAACCCCGGGAGGCGGGUGGAUACUGCUGAGCUCGAGUCCGGAAGAGGAGUGUGGAAUUCCUGGUGUAGCGGUGAAAUGCGCAGAUAUCAGGAGGAACACCAAUGGCGAAGGCAGCACUCUGGGACGGUACUGACGCUGAGACGCGAAAGCGUGGGGAGCAAACAGG
rnacentral:rRNA from 1 species